UCUCCGUAGGUGAACCUGCGGAGGGAUCAUUACAGAGUUCAUGCCCUCCGGGUAGAUCUCCCACCCAUUGCUAUAACUACUCUCGUUGCUUUGGCGGGCCGCUGGGCCCUGCCUGGCCGCCGGCCCCGGCUGGCGCGUGCCCGCCAGAGACCUCACAAACUCUGAAUGCUAGUGUCGUCCGAGUAACUAUACAAUCGUUAAAACUUUCAACAACGGAUCUCUUGGUUCUG
rnacentral:misc_RNA from 1 species